CACCAUGCCGUGGGAGCCGCCUUUUAUACAAAUGACCAGGGCAAGAAGCUAGGAGAGUAAUAGUCGACAUUAUGAGCAGUGAGAUUUCUAUGGUUGCAUAAUUAAAUAUUUUUCCUUUCCUAAUGAAGAACUGGACAGAACAAGUUGUUCGCGGAAGUGGAAAGGAAAUCAGAGGUCGUAGUUUUAACAGCGAGGCAAUCCAUGUGGCCUUGUUGGAUAAUGUGGAAAACAGUUUUCCUUGAUGUUGAUGGAAACUUGUGCAUCCGAAC
rnacentral:misc_RNA from 1 species